rnacentral:rRNA from 1 species
GAUGAACGCUAGCGGCAGGCCUAACACAUGCAAGUCGAGGGGUAGUUACUUUCGGGUAAUGAGACCGGCGCACGGGUGCGUAACGCGUAUGCAAUCUACCUUUUACAGGGGAAUAGCCCAGAGAAAUUUGGAUUAAUGCCCCAUAGUAUGUAUGAAUCGCAUGGUUUAUAUAUUAAAGUUCCAACGGUAAAAGAUGAGCAUGCGUCCCAUUAGUUAGUUGGUAAGGUAACGGCUUACCAAGACUAUGAUGGGUAGGGGUCCUGAGAGGGAGAUCCCCCCACACUGGUACUGAGACACGGACCAGACUCCUACGGGAGGCAGCAGUGAGGAAUAUUGGACAAUGGGCGCAAGCCUGAUCCAGCCAUGCCGCGUGCAGGAAGAAGCAUCUAUGGUGUGUAAACUGCUUUUGUACAGGAAGAAACACUCCCUCGUGAGGGAGCUUGACGGUACUGUAAGAAUAAGGAUCGGCUAACUCCGUGCCAGCAG